rnacentral:rRNA from 1 species
AUUGAACGCUGGCGGCAGGCCUAACACAUGCAAGUCGCGCGAGCGGCGGACGGGUGAGUAAUGUAUGGGGACUGCCCGAUGGAGGGGGAUAACUCCUGGAAACGGUAGCUAAUACCGCAUACUAUCGGCUACCCCAUAUGGGAUUAGCUAGUUGGUGGGGUAAAAGCUCACAAAGGCAACGAUCCGUAGCUGGUUUGAGAGGACGACCAGCCAAACGGGGACUGAGACACGGCCCAGACUCCUACGGAGGCAGCAGUGGGGAAUUUGGGACAAUGGGGGAAACACUGAGACAGCCAUCCCGCGUGUAUGAUGAAGGCCUUCGGGUUGGAAAGUACUUUUGGCAGAGAAGCGGUAUCUGCAGAAUAAGCACCGGCUAACUACGUGCCAGCAGCCGCGGUAAUAC